rnacentral:lncRNA from 10 species
AACCUGCCAAUGUUCAUGGAUGGAAGGAAGCUUUGUCAAAUCAGGGCUGGGAUAACCAGCUCCUGGAGAUUUGCAUGAAUCUACCUGACUACAGAGUUGAAGCCACCAAUUCUUGCCCUGCAUUUUGUGGUAGGCCAUAUGGUAUUGGUAUCUGACUAGUAGGAAAUACAAGCCUCUGGUCUGUGGAAAAGAAGAAGGUGUUAAAGGAGUUUAGAGAUUUUUCUAGAAGACACGCCUUGAGAGAGUUCACCAACACUGUACAAGGAUUAGGACCGGACAAGUGGAAAGUGAUGCCUUGGUUGGCAAGUGGCCCAAUGCUGGAAGUGAGAUGAACAAGCUCUUUCUGUAGAAUAAACCAUUAGGUUAACCUGAGACAGAGGAGAUGAGGCUUGGAACCUCUGCUCACCAGGUUGAUGAAAUCUUAUCUUGACACGAGAGGACCAGGAUCACAAUGACAAGUGAAGGGAAUAUGGCUGACAGCUGCUUACAACUCCUGUAUGUGGAAAAGUCACCUCCACUCAUAUUUUUUUUUGGCUAACACUAGGCACAUGGCCCCAGGACCAUCCUGUCUUUUGCCCAGAAGAACAGAAAUAUUCUGUGAAAUUCUCUAAAAUUCCCGUAGCAUCGCUUAAGUGAUGAUUAUGUGGCCAUUCCACUGACCUGAGAUUAGAGACAUGAAAACUUGGACGUGCUGGGUAGUAUUCCAAUGGGAGAAUCUGCCUGAGGAGGAAUCAAACGUGGGCGAAAGUAAAGCUGAGAGAAGGACAGAAAUAGAAUUCUGAUGACAUAUUGUUGGAGGUGCUGGAUCUAGUUGUGCCCGAAGCUACCCCUGAGCUUCGAAGGUUGGGUUUCCUGAAAAGCAGAUGCUGACAAGACAGUAUGCAAAAGAUUAAGUAAGAUGGUUCCUUGGGGUCAACACCUGUGGAAGAGAAGGAAAGGAAGCAGGAUUGUUUAAAGCAAGAAAUUUGGGCUCUGAUGCAGUCCCAGUAAAAUUCGCAGUUGACCCCACAGGAAGUUCUGGUGCUGGCAUGAUUCUUCAGAGUUGUACAGGUUGGAGGUAGAGGGCCAAGGUUUUAUACCCCAUAUGAAUUAGUUAUUGGAUGACCCUCAUCCCCAAGAAGUGGACAUAACCUUGGACAAGAUGGAUCUCUUCAAUUCCUGGAGGGGUUGACAGCUGAGAGCUUUGCACCAGCAGCACUCCCACUAGCUGGACGUGCAUGCCCUUCCAAUGCAUAAUAUUACCUAUGAUACUCUCCUGUGGGAUUUAGCUGUUUGUAGCAUCAAUGCAAAAUACUUAUUUUAAGAGUUUCCAACAUCACUGCAUUUAGCUUUAGAAAAUUGUACCAUCACUGUCAUAUUUCUCAACUGUCUCUUCAAGGACAUGGGGGUCAUAUCAUUCUGGGUCUUUUCUUUCUUGGGUUCCAUUAGAAAUGCAGAAAUCUCUGGUUGACAAGAAUGGCCACAUGGCUAGCAAAGAGGUCAUACCAAAAGUUUCUUUAAGGCAUUACUUAAUGUUCAUGCAAAGAGGGCAAAGUUUUGGAGACCAUGUUAUAUUUGUGUAAGCUCCAUUAGUAACAAGCCUGGCUCCUGAAUGCUACUUCAGGGAUAGAUAGCAUGAAAAAUCUUGGGAAAGGAAUAGCAUUGCAGAAAGUCCUCCAAUAUUAAAAACUUAAGAAAUGUGCUUUAGGCCUUGGAUUUAGUACCUUCACUUGUGUCCAAGGGUUUAUAUUACAAAGAGGAUUGAAGUACACUAAAUUGUGAGCCAGGCUAGAUUACUUCUAGGAUGUCUUCUAACUCAAGGUCUGAGAUUCUAAGAG